rnacentral:rRNA from 1 species
AGAGCGAACGCUGGCGGCAGGCCUAAAACAUGCAAGUCGAACGCCGUAGCAAUACGGAGUGGCAGACGGGUGAGUAACACGUGGGAACGUACCCUUUGGUUCGGAACAACACAGGGAAACUUGUGCUAAUACCGGAUAAGCCCUUACAGGGAAAGAUUUAUCGCCAGAGGAUCGGCCCGCGUCUGAUUAGCUAGUUGGUGGGUAACGCCCACCAAGGCUACGAUCAGUAGCUGGUCUGAGAGGAUGAUCAGCCACACUGGGACUGAGACACGGCCCAGACUCUACGGAGGCAGCAGUUAGGAAUCUUGGACAAUGGGCGCAAGCCUGAUCCAGCCAUGCGCGUUGAGUGAUGAAAGGCCUUAGGGUUGUAAAGCUCUUUCAGCGGGGAAGAUAAAUGAACGGUACCGCAGAAAGAAGCCCCGGCUAACUUCGUGCCAAGCCAGUCCGC